GGUUUCUCUGUGUAGCCCUGGCUGUCCUGGAACUCACUCUGUAGACCAGGCUGGCCUUGAACUCACAGAGAUCCACCUGCCUCUGCCUCCCGAGUGCUGGGAUUAAAGGCGUGCGCCACCACUGC
ensembl:miRNA